rnacentral:misc_RNA from 1 species
AUGAAGAACGUAGCGAAAUGCGAUAAGUAAUGUGAAUUGCAGAAUUCAGUGAAUCAUCGAAUCUUUGAACGCACAUUGCGCCCGCUAGUAUUCUGGCGGGCAUGCCUGUUCGAGCGUCAUUUCAACCAUCAAGCUCCUUAGCUUGUGUUGGGGACCUGCGGCUGCCGCAGCCCCCGAAAUGCAGUGGCGGGCUCGUUGUCACACCGAGUGCAGUAAUCAUUCUUCUCUCCGGGCGUGGCGGCGGGUUCCGGCCGUAAAAUCACCAAUUUAUCAAGGUUGACCUCGGAUCAGGUAGGAAUACCCGCUGAACUUAAGCAUAUCAAUAAGCGGAGGA